UGAAGAUGCAUCGACUAAAGCAGACAGACUGUUCUCUGGUUAUGAAGAAUGUCAGAGGUGACGAUGUUGGUUCUUACACCUGCAGACGGCUCACAUCAGGAGAACAAGUAGCAGAGUCUCAUAUUGACCUGUCUGUCAUUACCAAAUUUUAGCAGAACACCGAUGAUAAAGUGACCCUGUUCUGCUAUGUGAUGGUAUCUAAGUACUGUAGAUACUCAGUGAGGUGGCUGUACAAAGGUCAAGAGAAAGUUCCCCCAGAUAUGGAGACAUCAUCAACACGCUGUGCAGCCAGUGUUUCCUUUACUACAUCUCACUUUCAUCAAAUGUUUCAUGAAUUUCUUCAGUGGAAACUUACUGAUACGUUUAUUAACAAGGACCAGCUGUUUACCUUCAGCUCUCAGGCCUCAGGUGAUAAAACCGAUGCAACCAGACAGACAACAAAUUUUGUAAAAAAUAACGGCAUCACCAACAAAAAUCCUAUCAACAAUAAAAUCAACUCUGACUGAUGUAACAUCUGUGAAAACAAAUCCCUCAACAGAAACCAAGAAUCCUUC